UUAUACAUAAUUGACAUUAAAACAUUAUAAUCUCUUUCGAAGGACACUCAUAGAACAAAAGCUUUAGAGUUUCGCUGUUCAUGAAAAUGAGUCUUUACGUUUGAAUGUUUUUGGCGAAUAAAUAUUUCUGACACUUCUUUUAUCUGCCGAUCGCUAUUAUCAUGAUGCACACAAAAUUAUAAUUUAGUUUAAUUUUAAUGUAUAUAAAAUCGAUAAAAUUCAAUUAUUUUUGAUCUAUUCAAUUUCUGAUUUUUUGAGCUUGGUUUCGCUACAUAAAUAUCCUUUUUUGUUAUAAAAAUGAUUAAAUUCCUGUUAACCUUUGGGACAGGUGUUUACACUGGAAUAUAUCUCUGUCAAAACUAUGAGAUUCCCAGAGUAGAUGAACCCUCUAAAAUUAUAGAGAGGUUAAAGGAAUUCGCUGAUGAUCAUAAGAAAAAAUAGAUUAAUUAUAGCAA